UUCCCAGACUCCUACGGGAGGCAGCAGUGGGGAAUAUUGGGCAAUGGAGGAAACUCUUACCCAGCAAUGCCGCGUGAAUGAAGAAGGUCUUCGGAUUGUAAAGUUCUUUAAUUGGGGACGAAAAAAAUGACGGUACCCAAGGAAUAAGCACCGGCUAACUCCGUGCCAGCAGCCGCGGUAAUACGGAGGGUGCAAGCGUUACUCGGAAUCACUGGGCGUAAAGAGCGCGUAGGCGGGAUAGCAAGUCAGAUGUGAAAUCCUAUGGCUUAACCAUAGAACUGCAUUUGAAACUGUUAUUCUAGAGUAUGGGAGGGGUAGGUGGAAUUCUUGGUGUAGGGGUAAAAUCCGUAGAGAUCAAGAGGAAUACUCAUUGCGAAGGCGACCUGCUAGAACAUAACUGACGCUGAUGCGCGAAAGCGUGGGGAGCAAACAGGAUUAGAUACCCGCGUAA
rnacentral:rRNA from 1 species